AACGAACGCUGGCGGCAGGCUUAACACAUGCAAGUCGAACGAAGCCUUCGGGCUUAGUGGCGGACGGGUGAGUAACACGUGGGAACGUACCUUUUGGUUCGGAAUAACGCAGAGAAAUUUGCGCUAAUACCGAAUAAGCCCUUAGGGGGAAAGAUUUAUCGCCGAAAGAUCGGCCCGCGUUGGAUUAGGUAGUUGGUGUGGUAAAGGCGCACCAAGCCUACGAUCCAUAGCUGGUCUGAGAGGAUGAUCAGCCACACUGGGACUGAGACACGGCCCAGACUCCUACUGGAGGCAGCAGUGGGGGAUCUUGCGCAAUGGGCGAAAGCCUGACGCAGCCAUGCCGCGUGAAUGAUGAAGGUCUUAGGAUUGUAAAAUUCUUUUACCAGGGACGAUAAUGACGGUACCUGGAGAAAAAGCCCCGGCUAACUUCGUGCCAGCCACCGCCGUAACAC
rnacentral:rRNA from 1 species